GGCGGACGGGUUAGUAACGCGUGGGAACGUGCCCUUCUCUGCGGAAUAGCCACUGGAAACGGUGAGUAAUACCGCAUACGCCCUUCGGGGGAAAGAUUUAUCGGAGAAGGAUCGGCCCGCGUUAGAUUAGAUAGUUGGUGGGGUAAUGGCCUACCAAGUCUACGAUCUAUAGCUGGUUUUAGAGGAUGAUCAGCAACACUGGGACUGAGACACGGCCCAGACUCCUACGGGAGGCAGCAGUGGGGAAUCUUAGACAAUGGGCGCAAGCCUGAUCUAGCCAUGCCGCGUGUGUGAUGAAGGUCUUAGGAUCGUAAAGCACUUUCGCCAGGGAUGAUAAUGACAGUACCUGGUAAAGAAACCCCGGCUAACUCCGUGCCAGCAGCCGCGGUAAUACGGAGGGGGUUAGCGUUGUUCGGAAUUACUGGGCGUAAAGCGCGCGUAGGCGGAUUGGAAAGUUGGGGGUGAAAUCCCGGGGCUCAACCCCGGAACUGCCUCCAAAACUAUCAGUCUAGAGUUCGAGAGAGGUGAGUGGAAUUCC
rnacentral:rRNA from 1 species